GACGAGCCACACGAACGUUAUUCGGAAUUACUGGGCUUAAAGGGUGCGUAGGCUGCGCGGAAAGUUGGGUGUGAAAUCCCUCGGCUCAACCGAGGAACUGCGCCCAAAACUACCGUGCUCGAGGAAGAUAGAGGUAAGCGGAACUCACGGUGGAGCGGUGAAAUGCGUUGAUAUCGUAAGGAACACCUGUGGCGAAAGCGGCUUACUGGGUCUUUUCUGACGCUGAUGCACGAAAGCUAGGGGAGCAAACGGG
rnacentral:rRNA from 1 species